GGGGAAUAUUGCACAAUGGGCGCAAGCCUGAUGCAGCCAUGCCGCGUGUGUGAAGAAGGCCUUCGGGUUGUAAAGCACUUUCAGCGGGGAGGAAGGCGGUGAGGUUAAUAACCUUGUCGAUUGACGUUACCCGCAGAAGAAGCACCGGCUAACUCCGUGCCAGCAGCCGCGGUAAUACGGAGGGUGCAAGCGUUAAUCGGAAUUACUGGGCGUAAAGCGCACGCAGGCGGUCUGUCAAGUCGGAUGUGAAAUCCCCGGGCUCAACCUGGGAACUGCAUUCGAAACUGGCAGGCUAGAGUCUUGUAGAGGGGGGUAGAAUUCCAGGUGUAGCGGUGAAAUGCGUAGAGAUCUGGAGGAGUACCGGCGGCGAAGGCGGCCCCCUGGACAAAGACUGACGCUCAGGUGCGAAAGCGUGGGGAGCAAAC
rnacentral:rRNA from 1 species